rnacentral:rRNA from 1 species
UACGAAGGGUGCAAGCGUUACUCGGAAUUACUGGGCGUAAAGCGUGCGUAGGUGGUUCGUUAAGUCUGGUGUGAAAGCCCUGGGCUCAACCUGGGAAUGGCAUUGGAAACUGGCGACCUAGAGUGCGGUAGAGGGUAGUGGAAUUCCCGGUGUAGCAGUGAAAUGCGUAGAGAUCGGGAGGAACAUCUGUGGCGAAGGCGACUGCCUGGGCCAGCACUGACACUGAGGCACGAAAGCGUGGGGAGCAAACAGG